rnacentral:misc_RNA from 1 species
UCUCCGUUGGUGAACCAGCGGAAGGAUCAUUACCGAGUUUCCAACUCCCAAACCCAAUGUGAACGUUACCAAACUGUUGCCUCGGCGGGGUCACGCCCCGGGUGCGUCGCAGCCCCGGAACCAGGCGCCCGCCGGAGGAACCAACCAAACUCUUUCUGUAGUCCCCUCGCGGACGUUAUUUCUUACCGGUCUGAGAAAAAAUUCAAACUGAAUCAACACUUUCAACAACGGAUCUCUUGGUUCUG